GUACUCGCUUCGGCGGUACAUAUACUAAAAUUGGAACGAUACAGAGAAGAUUAGCAUGGCCCCUGCGCAAGGAUGACACGCAAGAUAAAUAAAAAAAAAAUUUAAAA